CGGCAGCCAGUCGCCGAGCGGCGCCGGCACAAGGCUUGCCACGUGAGGUCAGCGGCUCCUGCCGCGGCGGCUCUGCAGCCCGCGGGCGGGGGCCGGAGGACGGAAAGCGGGCCCCGGCCUCGCCUGGCGCGGCGCGUCUCGGGGAGGAAGCCCGGCCAGUUGUUCUAGGCCGAAAACAGCCGCAGACAUGCCUGCCCCUCAUAUCUCUAUACAGACAUGCACGUAUUCUGGGAUUGCACAUGAUUUAGCGGCGGGGGGGGGGUGGAUGGUGCACGGUCCCAGAAGCUUGCUGAUGCGAGGCCGGGGCCAGGCCGCAGCCCUUGCACAGCCCGGUUUGUCUGGGUUCAGACCAAACAUCAAGCAAAAGGAAUUCCGGGAGAUCAGGGGGAAACCAGUCUUGAUUAAGGAAGGAAGAAGCCUGCAAGGGAGGAGGUAGAAGAAGUUUCCUAUAGUGAUCCGACACCAUCAACGCUGCGUAUGUGCAGCCAUGGAGAUGAUCUUUCCCCUCAGCACUGCCUUGAGGGCAUCCCAGAC